AUUGAACGCUGGCGGCAUGCCUAACACAUGCAAGUCGAACGGCUGAGCGGGCCUUGCUCUGGCGUUCAGCGGCGGACGGGUGAGUAAUGCCUAGGAACCUGCCUAGUAGUGGGGGAUAACGUCCGGAAACGGGCGCUAAUACCGCAUACGUCCUGAGGGUGAAAGUGGGGGACCGUCGGGCCUCACGCUAUCGGAUCGGCCUAGGUCGGAUUAGCUAGUUGGUGGGGUAAAGGCCUACCAAGGCGACGAUCCGUAGCUGGUCUGAGAGGAUGACCAGCCACACUGGAACUGAGACACGGCCCAGACUCCUACGGGAGGCAGCAGUGGGGAAUAUUGGACAAUGGGGGAAAGCCUGAUCCAGCCAUGCCGCGUGUGUGAAGAAGGCCUUCGGAUUGUAAAGCACUUUAGGUCGGGAGGAAGGCCAGUGAGUUAAUACCCCGGUGGGAUGACGUUACCGGAAGAAUAAGCACCGGCUAACUACGUG
rnacentral:rRNA from 1 species